UACGAAGGGUGCAAAUAAAUAUUUUUGGUUAAUGGUUUAAUUAAUAAUUAUAGAAUGUAAAAUUGUAUUUUUUGGGUGGAAUCUUUAAAUUUAUAUUAAUUUCUUUAUAGUGUUAUUGAAGCUUUGAAAUUCAAAAUUAUAAACUAGGAUUAGAUACCCUAUUAUUUUGGAUGUUAAUAUUGGGCCUGAGUAGUAGUAGUUAUGUUCUUGAAACUCAAAGAAUUUGGCGGUGCUUUAGACCUUUCAGAGGAACUUGUCCCUUAAUCGAUAAUCCUCGUUGGACUUUACUUAAGUUUGUGAUCAGUUUGUAUACCGCCGUCGUCAGAAUGUCUUUGUAGAGGUUUAAUUUUCGUUAUUUUUAACUAAAAUAGAUGUCAGGUCAAGGUGCAGUUUAUACUUAAAGUGGAGAUGAGUUACAAUAAAUUUAUUUAUAUGGAAUAUUUAUUUUGAAAAAGAAUUAUGAAGGUGGAUUUGAUUGUAAUUGAAUUGAAUUUAAUUAAUUUGAUUUUGGCUCUGAAGCAUGCACACAUCGCCCGUCGCUCUCGUUAUUAAGGCGAG
rnacentral:rRNA from 1 species